AGCCGAUCGGAUAGUUGCUCCCAAUCCGCAGUAAGCGUAAUUGGGGGAGGAAAGUCCGAGCACCGCAGGACAGGAUGCCUCCUAACGGGAGGGCGUCGUUUUUAGGCGACGGAAAGUGCAGCAGAAAAUAAACCGCCAUUUGAUAAGCUUAAGGGCUUGCCCUGAGCUUGUCGAAGGGUAAGGGUGAAAAGGUGGUGUAAGAGACCACCAGUUCCCGCUGCAAAGCUGGAUGCUUGUAAACCCCAUCCGGUGCAAGAUCAAGUAUACCCCGAGAUAUAGUUCGUAUCGCUAAAGGGGAGGGUUGAUCGCGUGAUCCUUUCAGAAAUGAAGGGACCAGAUGAAUGGCUAUCAAUUACAGAACUCGGCUUACAGAUUGGCUCUA
rnacentral:RNase_P_RNA from 1 species